GACGAACGCUGGCGGCGUGCCUAAUACAUGCAAGUUGAGCGCUGAGGGUUGGUACUUGUACCUCCUGUAUUAGCAGCGAACGGGUGAGUAACGCGUGGGUAACCUGCCUUUAAGCGGGGGACAACUUUUGGAAACGAAUGCUAAUACCGCAUAAAAUCUUUAACCACAAGUUUUAAGUUUGAAAGAUGCACUUGCUUCCCUCAAAAAUGAUCCCGCGUUGUAUUCACCAGUUGGGGAAGUAAAGGCUUACCAAGGCGAUGAUACAAAGCCGACCUGGGCGGGGGAUCGGCCAAAAUGGGACUGAGAAAAGGCCCAAAACCCUACGGGAGGCAGCAGGAGGGAAUCUUCGGCAAUGGAGGGAAGGCUGAACGAGCAAAGCCGGGGGAGGGAAGAAGGUUCUCGGAUCGGAAAAACCUGUUGGUAGAGAAGAAAGUUGGUGGGAGGGGAAAGCGCAUCAAGUGACGGUAACUACCCAGAAAGGGACGGCUAACUACGUG
rnacentral:rRNA from 1 species